rnacentral:piRNA from 1 species
UCUGGAGGGUUUUCAAGAGCUCUGGCCC